CGUUGUCCGGAUUAUUGGGCGUAAAGAGCUUGUAGGCGGUUUGUCGCGUCUGCUGUGAAAGGCCGGGGCUUAACCCCGUGUAUUGCAGUGGGUACGGGCAGACUAGAGUGCAGUAGGGGAGACUGGAAUUCCUGGUGUAGCGGUGGAAUGCGCAGAUAUCAGGAGGAACACCGAUGGCGAAGGCAGGUCUCUGGGCUGUAACUGACGCUGAGAAGCGAAAGCAUGGGGAGCGAACAGGAUUAGAUACCCUGGUAGUCCAUGCCGUAAACGUUGGGCACUAGGUGUGGGGAACAUUCCACGUUUUCCGCGCCGUAGCUAACGCAUUAAGUGCCCCGCCUGGGGAGUACGGCCGCAAGGCUAAAACUCAAAGAAAUUGACGGGGGCCCGCACAAGCGGUGGAGCAUGUGGUUUAAUUCGAAGCAACGCGAAGAACCUUACCAGGUCUUGACAUCCCUCUGACCGCUCUAGAGAUAGAGCUUUCCUUCGGGACAGAGGUGACAGGUGGUGCAUGGUUGUCGUCAGCUCGUGUCGUGAGAAG
rnacentral:rRNA from 1 species